rnacentral:rRNA from 1 species
CCUACGGGAGGCAGCAGUGAGGAAUAUUGGUCAAUGGGCGCGAGCCUGAACCAGCCAAGUAGCGUGAAGGAUGACUGCCCUACGGGUUGUAAACUUCUUUUAUCAAGGAAUAAAGCGAGGCACGUGUGCCUUUUUGUAUGUACUUUAUGAAUAAGGAUCGGCUAACUCCGUGCCAGCAGCCGCGGUAAUACGGAGGAUCCGAGCGUUAUCCGGAUUUAUUGGGUUUAAAGGGUGCGUAGACGGGUUGUUAAGUCAGUUGUGAAAGUUUGCGGCUCAACCGUAAAAUUGCAAUUGAUACUGGCAGCCUUGAGUACAGUUGAGGUAGGCGGAAUGCGUGGUGUAGCGGUGAAAUGCUUAGAUAUCGCGAAGAACUCCGAUUGCGAAGGCAGCCUACUAGACUGCCACUGACAUUGAUGCUCGAAAGUGUGGGGAUCAAACAGGAUUAGAUACCCGAGUAGUC